UACAGAGGCCUCGAGCGUUAGGCGGAAUCACUGGGCUUAAAGCGUGUGUAGGCGGACUUCUAAGUACCUUGUGAAAUCCCACGGCUUACCCGUGGAACUGCUGGGUAUACUGGUUGUCUUGAGCCGUCUAGGGGCGAGUGGAACAAAUGGUGGAGCGGUGAAAUGCGUAGAUAUCAUUUGGAACGCCAAUGGUGAAAACAACUCGCUGGGGAGGUGCUGACGCUGAGACACGAAAGCCAGGGGAGCGAACGGG
rnacentral:rRNA from 1 species